GCACCAGGGCCAACCCCUCCUGUCCUUCCACAGACAGGGCUCUGAGCACAGCAGAUGCCCCCAGAGGCGCUGAGCAGGACCCCGACUCCAGCACGUCAGAAGGUUAUACUAAUAACGUGUUUGCCUUCUUCCAUCGAGUCAACAAUUCUCUGAAGCAUGUGUUAUAAUUAAGACCACUGAUGGAUGAUUAAACAGAGGCUGGAAAGGCGAAGACAUCACCUGACAUCACUCAUCUAUGAUGUUGAGCGUUGACAAAGGCCCUCCGAGGCUUGAAAAGAGAAGGAAUUACCACAGGGCUUCCUGGAGUUUUAUGAAAUGUCUCCAGCCACAUUCUCUAAAAUGUAAGAAGGCUCUGAGUGCUGACCCCAGAGAACCCACCCCAGCUGGGAAGGAGCAGGCAGGCCCAUCCGGCAGGACUCCUAGGCCUCCCUGGGAUGAGUGUGCUGAGAGGAAGCUCCAGCAGGUCUGAGAGGAAGUACUGGUCACCCUUCCUGACUGGGCACCAGCAGUGGGGAGCAGGGAGCAACAGCAGCCCCCACCGUAAAGAGCUGUCACUGCUUCUGGGAGAGCAAGUAGGUUAGAGGGGGAAGAAGCCGAGCAGGUAUGCAGACAGCCUCUCAAUGACACAAGAACUUCCUUGAAAAGUGGCAAAGCAGUCUCUUCUGGGUAAUUUCGCCAGAACAUCCGGUCUCUCCGGCAAGAAAGAAGAGGCACAAGCUGUCUGCCUGUGCUAUAAACAGAACCAUGUGGAUCUGAGUCCUUUAUUAACCCACCUUGCUCUGAUGCUGCAGGGAGGAGACCUAGGAGGACACCCAAAGGUGGGGGUAGGGGAGCGAUCCCCUUGUGUUUCUCCUCUGGAUCCAGGGGCUGCGGAGGGUGAGGAUGAAGGCUGAGGGGUGAAUGGAUGGGUGAAUAGACAGAUGGGCAGUGUUGCGGGGCCUAACCCAGCCACACAGGAACCCUUUUCCCUUCUCUUCUUCCUCGCUUCCUAAGACAAAGACACCAAGAUGGUCAGCCUCACCCCCAGAAGUUUGCAUCAGAGGACCCUAACUUUCCAGGCAAGCUGUGGAAUUUUUCCACCUGCCAUGGCCCCAGAUAAAAGUGGCCUCUAACUGCUCCUGAGUGCGGACUCCAUCUUUGCACUGCCCGGGGAGGGGGGGGGGA